ACAUCACAUUGAAACACAGGUUCCUUUAUGAUCACCAAAGUUAAUCAAUGUCAGGCCUGGUCAGUACUUAGAUGGGUGACCACUUGGGAAUAUCAUGUGCUGUAAG